rnacentral:rRNA from 1 species
CCUACGGGAGACAGCAGUGAGGAAUAUUGGUCAAUGGACGCAAGUCUGAACCAGCCAUGCCGCGUGCAGGAAGACGGCUCUAUGAGUUGUAAACUGCUUUUGUACGAGGGUAAACGCAGAUACGCGUAUCUGUCUGAAAGUAUCGUACGAAUAAGGAUCGGCUAACUCCGUGCCAGCAGCCGCGGUAAUACGGAGGAUUCAAGCGUUAUCCGGAUUUAUUGGGUUUAAAGGGUGUGUAGGCGGUCGGAUAAGUUAGAGGUGAAAUCCCGAGGCUCAACUUCGGAAUUGCCUCUGAUACUGUUAGGCUAGAGAGUAGUAGCGGUAGGCGGAAUGUAUGGUGUAGCGGUGAAAUGCUUAGAGAUCAUACAGAACACCGAUUGCGAAGGCAGCUUACCAAGCUACUUCUGACGUUGAGGCACGAAAGCGUGGGGAGCAAACAGGAUUAGAUACCCGGGUAGUC